GCGGGAAGUUAGGAGUGACGCAGAUGAAAGCCGCACUUAAGAUGGCGUCAGCACCGGCAUCCCGUGACUGCACUGCGAUCAGCAAUGUACGGAAAAGGUUUUGAAAAUAUAUAAAAAAGGAAAAGCACACAAAAACAGAACUAGAGCUGUGGGCUAGCUCAGAAUUCAAUCCGAUUACGAUCCAUUGUUGUUACAUUCUCUCCCUUGCGAGACACUCCAGUUUUGCCACGCUGAGACUUCGUUGUACCCGCUACUCCCAGAAAAGCCUUCCACUGCAAACCGCUGAUAGGACUCCUCAGUCCUCCGUCCAAUAAAGAAAUCACACAGGAUCACACAUGUUUUUAAUGAGGCUGUUAGGUCAGUGCAGCAUGGUCUAUGAGGAAGGCGCAAGCUGAAACGCGUAAGACCGGUGCUGCACUGGACUCUUGACCCUGUUUGAAUGUAUUUUAAUGUUUCUAAUAAAAGUUAACUUUUAACUUUUA